GUCCACGCCCUAAACGAUGAUCACUCGAUGUGUGCGAUACACAGCACGCGUCUAAGCGAAAGCAUUAAGUGAUCCACCUGGGAAGUACGACCGCAAGGUUGAAACUCAAAGGAAUUGACGGGGGCCCGCACAAGCGGAGGAGCAUGUGGUUUAAUUCGAUGAUACGCGAGGAACCUUACCUGGGCUUGAAAGUUAGUGAAUGCCGUAGAAACAUGGCAGCAAGCAAUUGCACGAAACUAGGUGCUGCAUGGCUGUCGU
rnacentral:rRNA from 1 species